rnacentral:rRNA from 1 species
AACGAACGCUGGCGGCAGGCUUAACACAUGCAAGUCGAACGCAUCCUUCGGGGUGAGUGGCAGACGGGUGAGUAACGCGUGGGAACGUGCCCUUCAGUUCGGGAUAACCCAGGGAAACUUGGGCUAAUACCGGAUACGUGCGAGAGCAGAAAGAUUUAUCGCUGAAGGAUCGGCCCGCGUCUGAUUAGCUAGUUGGUGGGGUAAUGGCCCACCAAGGCGACGAUCAGUAGCUGGUCUGAGAGGAUGAUCAGCCACAUUGGGACUGAGACACGGCCCAAACUCCUCCGGGAGGCAGCAGUGGGGAAUAUGGGACAAUGGGCGCAAGCCUGAUCCAGCCAUGCCGCGUGAAUGAUGAAGGCCUUAGGGUUGUAAAGCUCUUUCGUCCGGGACGAUAAUGACGGUACCGGAAGAAGAAGCCCCGGCUAACUUCGUGCCAGCAGCCGCCGUAA